CGUAAAGCGCGCGUAGGUGGUUUAUUAAGUUGGGUGUGAAAGCCCCGGGCUCAACCUGGGAACUGCAUCCAAAACUGAUUCACUAGAGUACGAAAGAGGAAAGUAGAAUUCACAGUGUAGCGGUGGAAUGCGUAGAUAUUGUGAAGAAUACCGAUGGCGAAGGCAGCUUUCUGGUUCUGUACUGACACUGAGGUGCGAAAGCGUGGGUAGCGAACAGGAUUAGAUACCCUGGUAGUCCACGCCGUAAACGAUGACAACUAGCUGUUGGGAAGCUAUGCUUUUCAGUGGCGCAGCUAACGUCUUAAGUUGUCCGCCUGGGGAGUACGGCCGCAAGGUUAAAACUCAAAUGAAUUGACGGGGACCCGCACAAGCGGUGGAGCAUGUGGUUUAAUUCGAUGCAACGCGAAAAACCUUACCUACACUUGACAUACUUGGAAUCUUUUGUAAUGAAAGAGUGCCUUUUGGAGCCAAGAUACAGGUGCUGCAUGGCUGUCGUCAGCUCGUGUCGUGAGAUGUUGGGUUAAGUCCCAUAACGAGCGCAACCCUUACCCUUAUUUGCCAGCGAUUCGGUCGGGAACUAUAAGGGGACUGCCGGUGAUAAACCGGAGGAAGGUGAGGACGACGUCAAGUCAUCAUGGCCCUUACGUGUAGGGCUACACACGUGCUACAAUGGGGAGUACAGAUAGACGCUAAAGCGCGAGCUGGUGCUAAUCUCAUAAAACUCUUCGUAGUCCGGAUUGCAGUCUGCAACUCGACUGCAUGAAGUCGGAAUCGCUAGUAAUCGCGAAUCAGCAUGU
rnacentral:rRNA from 1 species